AUGGACGAAAGUCUGACGGAGCAACGCCGCGUGAACGAUGAAGGCUUUCGGGUCGUAAAGUUCUGUUGUCAGGGAAGAACAAGUACCGGAGUAACUGCCGGUACCUUGACGGUACCUGACCAGAAAGCCACGGCUAACUACGUGCCAGCAGCCGCGGUAAUACGUAGGUGGCAAGCGUUGUCCGGAAUUAUUGGGCGUAAAGCGCGCGCAGGCGGUUCCUUAAGUCUGAUGUGAAAGCCCCCGGCUCAACCGGGGAGGGUCAUUGGAAACUGGGGAACUUGAGUGCAGAAGAGGAGAGCGGAAUUCCACGUGUAGCGGUGAAAUGCGUAGAGAUGUGGAGGAACACCAGUGGCGAAGGCGGCUCUCUGGUCUGUAACUGACGCUGAGGCGCGAAAGCGUGGGGAGCGAACAGGAUUAGAUACCCUGGUAGUCCACGCCGUAAACGAUGAGUGCUAAGUGUUAGAGGGUUUCCGCCCUUUAGUGCUGCAGCAAACGCAUUAAGCACUCCGCCUGGGGAGUACG
rnacentral:rRNA from 1 species